UACGAGUGCCCCGAGCGUUAUCCGGAAUUAUUGGGCGUAAAGGGUGUGUAGGCGGUCUUGUUAGUCUCCUGUUAAAUUUCCGGGCUUAACCCGGAGCCUGCAGGGGAAACGGCAAAACUAGAGGAUGUAAGAGGUGAAUGGAACUCAUGGUGUAGGGGUGAAAUCCGUUGAUAUCAUGGGGAACACCAAAAGCGAAGGCAAUUCACUGGUACAUUCCUGACGCUGAAACACGAAAGCGUGGGUAGCGAAUGGG
rnacentral:rRNA from 1 species